ACGCACACAUAAAAUAAGUAAUUGGAAAGGUACUGCCAUUGCAUGUGUUAUGCAGAAACUAAUUUAAAAUCGAUGUGUACAAUCGUGAAAUUAUGAGGUCGUCAAGAAAUGAACUUUGUGAUAAUCUACUCGUUCCCCAAACCCGAAAUAGUUCUAUCGUCUGCCUUCAAAAUACCUUUUAAAUGAAUGUGACCGUCUUUCGCCUGAUUUCAGCAUGUUUAAGAUAACUAAAUUUCAAAACAACUGUUUACUUUCAGUUUGUGUUUAUCGUGACUGUCGAUGUAAAAUCUAGAGACGUUCCGAAAUCCUGCACUUGUGUCAACUCGGCCAAUACAGAAAAAAAUCUAUACUGGCCGAGUUAUUCUGUAUUGGCCCAGUUUACACAUUAUAUUGCAUAGGCAGUUUUCAUCAUAUUAAGUCCAAUAACAGUGUAGUUAAUUAAUAAAUUU
rnacentral:lncRNA from 1 species